UUUUCGACUUGAGCAAUAUUUCUAGUAGAAAAUAUUGUUUGUGUAAUUUAAAAACAAUGAAAACGAUUUCGUCGAGUUGUGCCGUAAAUAUUUGCUAUUUUUCCUAUGAUUUUCUUUCAGGUUUUUUUCAAUUAUUUCGAAAACCCUCGGAAAUCAAAAAAUGACCUCUCUAAUACACCAACUAGACACAAUUUUAUUUAGUAUAGUAAGUAUAGUAUCUUUCAGAAAAAGUACUAUAUUCUGUGCAUCAGUGGAAUAUUUCUUUUCAAAAUUUGUUUACAGGAAAAAAAUCACACCAAAUGAGCAAACCAACAGAUCCUUCUCAGCGCUCCGAAUUUAAUAGUUAAUGUGUUCUAAAAGUUUUAAUAUGGCGAAAUUUUUGCGCCCAGGUCUACAAGUGUAAAAUGGGAAAUAAAAAGUAAUUUCUGCAUUUUGAUACUUCAAACAUAC